rnacentral:tRNA from 1 species
AGGGUAUAGCUCAGUGGUAGAGCACAUGCUUAGCAUGCCUGAGAUCCUGGGUUCAAUCCCCAGGACCUCUA